GGUUAUUGCUUCGAAUAAUAUCUGUAAUAAUAAUCCCAUAAUUAUCUGUAAAAAUGUGUGGGAGCUCGGCUAAUAUGUUUCUAUAGUAUUUAAGCGUCUACUAUUUAUGACAACAUAAACCGAAAUGGAAAUUAAGAUCAAAAUGUGUGAGUAUUGUGAUGGUGAUAUUGACCCAUGGGUCAAACACGAGAUGUCCCAUUUUGGUGUGCGCAUCAAAUUCAAUUUACAGAAGUGAUUUUAUAUACAUAGAAUAAUGCAUAUUAAAUGCAAGCACUUUAAUGUUUCAAAUAACUCAAAUGUGUGAAAUGUUCCAUCGUCAUAGUGCAUGAACAUAUAUGUAAAAAUGAAGCAACAUUCGUAUUACAAUUUCAAUUAUUUGUUUUUUUUAGGUCCUGCACUGGGAUAAAUGUUUGAUAGUCAUUUUUUUUUUUUUUUUUUUUUUGCUCAGAAAAAGAAAUGUUAUUAAUCCAGAGGACACAUUCUAAUGUAUGGAAACAUGUAAAGCUGUACUAAACAGCUCUUUGGUUCGAUGUUUGAAAACCCUUUUUCGUCUUUGACCCUUAUGCAACGGACUCGAAAAACAAUUCUUUGCAUUCAUUCAUUCACCAGGCUUUCAGUUUAACGAAAACAGAAGAAGCCACGCUUAGAUGAGUAAAUUAAUUAUUGAAGACAUCACGCACUAAAAAUAAGAGGUUCGCCACGUGCGCACCACAUGUGACCAAUUUCCUCACGCAUUAAAAUCGUUCUUUUCUAACGACAUCUAACUUACAGCAGCUCACGUAGACCUCGAGUCAAAGUAUUAAAAUAUAAUCCACAAACUCUCUUGACCUUAGUUUGUAAGGCUGGUACUUUACUCACUACAAAAAAAAAAAAAAAAAAAAAACUUGUCGGAUGGACGAGGCGUGUCUAAUGAAUAUUUAAUAAGUUUACCUUCUCGCCGUCCAAUGGUGAAGGCGUCGGCUCCUGAAUAUUAAGUGGAAUUCGAAACUUCUCGGGGCGGCGCUCACUAUUGACGUCAUCUCCCCCCGCCCUGCGUGUCAGUUCCACGCUACUGUCUUCUUGUGAAUGGGUCAAGAGACUAAACAAACAGAAAGCUACCCGGUCUCUCGGUUUUAAACGGUCAGCCCAUGUCCUUCCGUUCAUUCCGGACUGUCAGAUAACGGACCUGUCACGCGCCGACACACCAAGAACUCUCAAAUUUGGUGUCUAGUUGUACACAAGGACCUCUUCUGUGUUUUCACCUGAGUCAUGCUGUAAAACCUGCCACAUCAGCAGCAGAGCGACGAUGUCUGUCGACUGGAAAGAAUUGCUCUCUUCUUUUUUUUCCCAGUAGUGUGCAGGUUAGUCUGCAUUCCUAAUCUAGAGACAUUCAGUGAACUUUUAAUGGAAUGUGUGUUUUUAAAAGCCUCUGGCUUAUUUGGGUCAUUGUACAAUUGUGAAUCUGAUUAAAAAAAUAAAAUAAUAAUAAUAAUAAUUUCA
ensembl:lncRNA